ACACGCACACACUCUCACACACACUCUCACUCACUCUCUCUCACACACACUCUCACUCACUCUCUCUCUCACACACACACACUCUCUCUCUCUCACACACACACACACACUUUCUCUCACACACACACACUUUCUCUCACACACUCACUCUCUCUCUCUCUCUCUCACACUUUCACACACACACUCUCUCUCUCACACACACUCUCUCUGUCUCACACACACACACACACACUCUCUCUCUCUCACACAUACACUCUCUCUCUCACACACUCUCUCUCUCACACACACACACAUACACACUCUCUUUCUCUCUCACACAUACACACUCUUUCUUUCUCUCACACGCUCUCUUUCUCUCUUUCUUUCUUUGUCUGUCUCUCAAAAGUCAUUCCUCCUCUCUUUCUGUCAGUGAUUUUAUAUCUCUGUCUCGUCCUCUUUUAAGCUUUUCUAUCUCUGUUAUAGUUUUUUUUGCUUUUGUUUAUUUCUUUAACUCAGUUAAUUAAUUCAUUUAGUCAUUUAUUUAUGGCCUUUCUCCAUAUAUUCAUUUCUUUAUUUUUUUCUUCAUUAGUUCAUGCAAUUAAUUUGUCAAUUCUUUAUUUGUUCUCCAUUCUUUCAUUCAUUCAUCCAUCAAUUCAUUUCCCCAUUCUUUUUCUCCAUUCUUUUCUAUUUUGUUUUCUUUCAUUCAUUCAUGCAUUCCUUUAUCCAUCCAAUCCAUUAAUUAAUUUCUUCAUUGUUUUGUUCUUCUCUCUUAAUUCAUUAUUUCUUCAUACUCAUAUUCAUUGUUUCUUUCUCAUGUCCGUCAUGAACAUUUACACAUGAACACUCAAACUGAGCGAGUAUACAUUACAGUGCAGUUGUCUGAUAGCUCCAGUGGGGUUGCAUCCUCCAGCAGAGAGGCCAACACUUGAUCCACCACUUCACCGCACCUUUAACUGAGGGUGAAUGACUGAUGGGGGGCGUAGUUACAUUUAGGUCUGGAACGGGAAGAAAGAUAUGAUAAGUGUAUUCUUUGUUGCAUUUAUCGAUAUCACUACUACUACUACUACACUCUAAAAACUGCUGGUUUAAAAAAUAACCCAACCUUAACCCCACUGCGAGGUAACUAUGGGACAGAACACCCGCUGGUUGGUUUGACCAAAGUGCUGGGUUUUACCAUUUAUUUCAUUUGAUCCAUCCUUGUGGGUAAAAUUAACUCUCUUGCUGGGUUAAAUAUUAUCUAUACUUUCAUUAUUUCCAAAGUAUUACCUAUAACUAUAGGUUAUUUCCUGUCUCAUUGCCUUGCUACUUUUAUAUUUACCACCAACAACAACAACAGCAUCAACGAUAAUAAUAACAACAAUAACAAUAAAAAUAGCAAUAACAAAGGAAUGUAAUGCUAUAAUUAUUGUUGUUCUGUAAUACAAUAAUAUAAAAAGAGGCCACUGUAAAUGUGAUUUUAAUGAGUUUUCAAAUUUUUCCCAAAACAAUUUAUGACUGGAUGUAAGUGUCCGAACACACAUUUCCACACAUCCAACACCCACCUCCCCCACUAACCUCUCCCAUAGUUAAAACCACAGUUUUUUAUAGUACAACGUCUUUGCAGAACUGUGUAAAACAUUUAGGCACUGUAAUCUUAUCCAUCACACCAUACCACCAGGGUGGCACCUGAACACUCAAAAAUUCAUUCAUCCACAUGACAAUCUAUCCAAACAUUUAGAGUCAUUAAGAACUAUCUUCAGCCACAAGAACAAGAAGGAGUCCUGCAACAGAUGGCCAUUUAAGAUCCAUCCAUCCAUCCAUCCAUCUUCUAUGACGCUUAGCCUUCUUUUAGGGUCACGGGGAACCUGGAGCCUAUCCCAGGGAUCAGGAAACCGGAGUACCCGGAGGAAACCCCCGCAGCACAGGGAAAACAUGCAAACUCCGCACACAUAGGGCCACGGUGGGAAUCGAAACCCUGACCCUGGAGGUGUGAGGCAAACGUGCUAACCACUAAGCCAACAUGUGCCCCGCCAUUUAACAUAUGUUCCAAAAAACAUUCAAAACAUGUUAAAUGUCUGCUGAAAAAAAUUAACAGAUGACGACUCAUGUCCAUCGCGUGCUGGAUAGACCACAUGCUGGAGAAACUCCCAGCCAGGAGCAAACGGAGGUGGAUUUAGGUAUUCCAAUGGGAUUGUACCAGAAACACCAUGCACCUCUUGGUGGUCCCUGUUUGCAUCUAUCUGCAAUGCUGCAGGUUCAGUUGUGACUUCAGAUUCAUUGAUUUCCAU